CAGGAGUGGAGCCUGCGGCUUAUUUUGACUCAACACGGGAAAACUUACCCGGCCCGGACACCGGAAGGAUUGACAGAUUAAGAGCUCUUUCUUGAUUCGGGGGGUGGGGGUGCAUGGCCGUUCUUAGUUGGUGGAGCGAUUUGUCUGGUUAAUUCCGUUAACGAACGAGACUCUAGCCUACUAAAUAGGCGACCGAUCAUUUUCGUCGGUCGUCCUUCUUAGAGGGACAAGCGGCGCUUAGCCGCACGAGACAGAGCAAUAACAGGUCUGUGAUGCCCUUAGAUGUCCGGGGCCGCACGCGCGCUACACUGAAGGAAUCAGCGUGUGCUUACCCCUGUCCGGCAGGAUUGGGUAACCCGUUGAACCUCCUUCGUGAUAGGGAUAGGGGCUUGUAAUUAUUCCCCUUGAACGAGGAAUUCCCAGUAAGCGCGAGUCAUAAGCUCGCGUUGAUUACGUCCCUGCCCUUUGUACACACCGCCCGUCGCUACUACCGAUUGAAUGAUUUAGUGAGGUCUUCGGACUGGUGCUCGGAGCGGCUUUCGGGUCGCGCCGGUGUACCGGAAAGAUGACCAAACUUGAUCAUUUAGAGGAAGUAAAAGUCGUAACAAGGUUUCCGUAGUGACU
rnacentral:rRNA from 1 species